UCCCCUCCUCCUCCUUCCUUCCCCUUCGUCUCCGAUUCGAUUCGCAUCCCGUCUACUGACCACACACGGCCGGACGGAAGACCCGAACCGUAUCGCCUCCACAAUCCAUCCCCCAGAACCAUACCACGCGUUCCCGUUCCCCUCCUAAAUACUCGAUCAAUAUCAAUCAAUCUCCGCCAACUCCCUCGAAUCGCUCCUGAAUAACUUAGUUUUCUCUUGUUAGAUUAGGGUUUCGAGUCUUUCGACGUCCUGCUUGCUUGCAGGGAGAUUCUGAUGCCGAAGAAGCCGUCGCUGUCGCGGGUUGCUUCAGAGACGCGGCUGCUGUUUUCUAGCUGGGAACCUGAAUCCCCGUUGGAUGCUACCAGCGGAUCCGGAAAAGAUGCACCCGCCGAUCAACAGGAAGGCGACGGGAAGCGGGGCCGACAACGCUCGCCUGGUGACGAAGCGAGGCCUAAGCGGCAGCGCAAGACGAAGAAGAAGAAUAAGAAGCAGUUGGAUUUAUUGGAGCGGGAGGACGAUCCCCUAAUCCAAUUGAGGUCAUUGAAGGAUCGAUUCAAGGGUCGAUUGAAGGAGGGCGUUGCUUCAGCCCGAUUGAAGUGUUUAGACACACUAUUGAAUGAGUCGAGGGAUUUAUCGCAGGGGAAUGAGUCCAAGGGGAAUUUGUUGAAGAGCCUCAUUCAAAAGGCAGAGUUGGAUUUGUGGCAGGUGAAGGAACUGGAAACCGAUCCCACGUCCGGUGCUAGCCAAUCCAAAGAAGAAGCUUCUGCUGCAGCUUCUGAUGGACAGGGAGACGAUAAGGAAAGGGGUGACUUGCAAGCAGUCGAGGCCUAUGGUUCUCCUCCUGGUAAGGAGAAGGUUGACUUGCAAGCAGCUAAGGACUCUUCUCCCACUGCUGGGAGGAAGGGAAAGGGCAAGCGUAUUAUAGGGUAUGAAGCACAACAGAAGGAAAGCAACAUUCAAGAUGUUAAAACAUCAAGUCAACAAGAAACUAGAAAGCCAAAGAGGAAGAAGCAGAAGAAGAGGCAGAGGCGCAAGAUGGAGGAAUCCACGGAAAAUCUAUCAUGCCGCAGUGGCAGCAGCCCAUCCUCUUCUCAUGAUGCAACAAGCACAUCGACAAUAGAGGGGGAGCCAGAACAACCAUCUUUUGGGGAUCUUGCGAGCAUUGCACAAGACCAUGAUGACAAGAUUGCAUCUGACGUUGUUGACAUCAAACAAGAACAAGAAUCAGCAGAAGAUAUCCUAGCUCUCCUCGACAUGAUGGAUAAGGAUGCCAUCCAAGAAAAAUUCAAUUACUAUCUCAAGCAGCUGGGCUUUGAGUCAAAUGAGUAUGAUUUUUGGUCUGAAACCUAUGAGCCAGAGCAACUCACUGCGUUGCACGAGCGGUUAGCCAUCUACCGCAUCGUAGGUUAUGAGCUAUCAAAGGGUAGGAAGCUUGGCAAACAGGAUAUUGCAAAACUGAAAGAGCAGUACAAUCCGUCCAUUCUUCGUAAGGAAGGAUACUUCCGGCACUAUGAGGAGAGUCUUGAGUGGUACUUCGAUCUUGAAUGGUGCAAGUACUCUGGUUUUCAAGACUAUCAGCGGCUAGUGCUUCAUGAUAAUGUUGAGUUCUUAGAGUGGGAGCAUUACCACUUAAAUUAUAAUACCUAUGAGGAUGAUCUAGCAUAUGUCAGGUAUCGUGCACGCUUAGCAAAUGAGACUAAGUGGAUUGAAGAUUAUCUGGCCCGUGACAUAACUCAGGCUGAGUGGCGUAGGGUUAAGGAUAUAGCUUCAGUUCAAGCACUGAAGAUUGCAAGAGUCUCUGGUGGUGUCAAGGCACAGGCAGCUUUGGCUGGUUUCAGAGAUCAUAUAUGGAGCAUUCAGUUUGAUUUCAAUCACUAUAAGGAUUUUGAUGGUGUUUACUUCAAGAUUUGGAAGCGGGUUGCUAAGAGAAAGAUGAAUUUUAGAGAAGCUUUGUUGGAAGUGUAUAGAGAAGAUAUGUUUCCUGUGCGCAAGAAUGGUAUUAAGUACGAACUUGAUAAUACUCAACUAAGAUUCAAGUCGAUGAAAGAAAAGUAUGAUGCCCACGUGGCUUGCCUUGAUGAGUCGGUGCCAGAAGAUGAAGUUCGUCAGUUGAUCAAAGAGGCCGUUAUAAAAAUGAAACCAAAACCACAUACCUAUUUGGACUACGCCAGGAAGAAGUUACAGAUAUCAAUGAAUAUCGAUUUGAUUACCAAAAGGCAGGCGGUGGGGAGCCGGGGAGCAAGAAAUCGUCAGCGUGGAGGAGCUUGCGGAACUCGACAGCGGCGACCACAGCGGGGAGCUUGGCGGCGGCGCCGGGUUCGACCGCGAGUUCGCCGCCCUUCCCCACCUCACGCAGAUCGAAGGACGUGGAGCUCCGCCGCCCCCUCCCCGCGCGCCGCCACCCCCUCCUCGCUCGUCGCCGCCCGGCCGCCUCCCAACUCCUCCUCGCUGUGCUGCGCCGCGGCCCCCUCCCCGCGCGCCGCCGCCAUCUCCUCGCCCGUCGCCUCCCGGCCGCCUCCCACCUCCUCCCCGCUGUGCUGCGCUGCCGCCCCCUCCCUCGCGUGCUGUCGCCGUCCCCCCGCGCGCCGCCUCCCACCUCCUCUCCGUUGUGCUGCGCCGCCGCCCCCUUCCUGUGCGCCGUCACCGCUGCAGGUUCGUAUGAAGGCCGAGAAGGAGGAGUUUCCGGUGAUGGUGAUGGUGGCGGGGUUGCCGGUGAGGAUGGGGCCGAGAGGUAGUACGAGGCGUGGGACCUCUCCGACAACGAGGCGGCGCUGGGCUGAUCUGGGGGGUGGACCUCCGCGGGGAGGCGUUAAGGAGGUCAGCGGCGCGGAGGAGCUCUCUGCCCUCGAGUCGGCAAGGGGACGGUGCAGACUUUGUUGGCGGCGGCGGAGACGAGCAAGGUCGGCGGAGCUGCCGCCGUGCGGGCGGCAUUCGGUGGCCCGUGGCCCCCUACCACCAGUGACGGCAACGGGGGUCCCCCGGCGGAUCCGUCGCCGCACGACCGGCCUUCGGCGGCGGCGGAUCCGGCCGUGCGCGCCGCCCGUUAGAGCUGGCGCGUUUACGCGCCUCCGAGCCGCGUCGGUCCCCCCCCGCCCCCGCGGGCUGCAAAUCUGAGUGAGCCGGUGGUGCUGGUGUGGUCGACGUGCUGGUGGCGGGACCGUACGUGGGCCUCGCGGUUCCGGGUCUCCCCAUCCCAACGGCGAGUUGGGCGGCGAGAGGAGGCGGCUUGGUGCAGUCCCGUGGCGACGUGGGCAGCGAAGGGAGCAGGUCACAGUGAUAUCCUUCAAUUGCCAAUUCCCAGCUCCGUAGAGCAGUCAUGACCAUUGCCCUUUCAACUACUGGAAGGGUUUCGUCUGGUGUUGGUUUGCCUGCUGCUGUCACUUCUGAUCGAGAGACUGGGGAAAGAAGACAGUCUGGUGGCCUGGUGGCUGGUGCCAUAGUUCUUGCUGAUCGUUGUGCUGUCUGCAUUGAUGAGUUUGAUAAGAUGAAUGACCAGGACAGAGUAGCUAUACAUGCAGUUUUGGAACAUAAAACCGUGACUAUUGCAGGAAUACAUGCAUCGCUAAAUGCAAGAUUUUUCUGAACAUGUUGCAUGGAUGCAUCGGUGUUGCACUGAUGAUGGAGUGUUAGCAGGGACAUACAUCGCAAGAUUAAACACAAGUAUUAAACCAAACUGAAAUUCAUGCCACGAAUUUAAUAUCAAGUCUUGAGCCGCUGGCGAGACUGAACAGAUCCAAAUGAUUUUUUAUCAAGAAGCUACAAAAAGUUAUAGGCUAUGUUGAAUGUUUCCUAAUGGAGCUGACAAAUGAAAGAGAAUGGAUGAAUCCUGGUAAAUGUGAUUGUGUUCAUUGGAGAAAUGUAAUGGUUCAAAGUAGCAACUUUUCCUCCAAGCUAUAUAAAUAUAAUCCCGAACUACGGUCGGAUUAUUGCACGUAGACAUAGCCAAGAUGGUAUAUGGAUGUGCUUGACCAUGUUUUAUAUACAUGAAGGGAUGUGAACAUCCUGUUAGCGACAAAUUGAAGGCAAAUAUUCAGUUUGAUAGCUCAUGUCGAUGGUACUUUCUUCCUGUACCCAUUCAAUAUUUAUUAAGCUUACAUGUACAAAUAUUCCGUUUCAUAUAUCGAAUGCAAUGUAUUGGACACAUUAAUUAUAUCUUGAACAUGCUUCUGUUUUGUCCUA